rnacentral:rRNA from 1 species
AAAAAAUCUAUACAAAAUAAUUUGAAUAUAAAUAAAUUUUAUAUAGUUUAAAAAAUUUAUUUUAAGUUUAUUUUACAUAUAAAUUUUAGUAUUAAUAAUUGAUUAUUUAAAAAAUAUUUAUUAUUUGUAGUAAUUAAUAUUAAAAAUUUAAGAAAUUAAGAUUUAGUAAUAUUAAAAUUAUUAACAAAUUUUGUGCCAGCAGUUGCGGUUAUACAAAAAUUAAAUUAAAUUUUUUUAGUUAUUAAAUAAUUAAAAAUUUAUUUAUAAUUUAAUUUUAAAAUUAUUAAGUGAAAUUUUAAUUUUAAAAAAUUUUAUAUGUUAAAAUUUAUGAUUUUAUAAAUUUUAAUUAUAAACUAGGAUUAGAUACCCUAUUAUUUAAAAUUUAAAUUUAUAAAUACUAAAAUAGUAUGUAAUUAUUUAUUGAAACUUAAAUAUUUUGGCGGUAUUUUAGUUUAUUUAGAGGAAUCUGUUUAUUAAUUGAUAAUCCACGAAUAAAUUUACUUAAUUUUAUUAUUUUGUAUAUCGUUGUUAAAAAAAUAUUUUUUAAUAAUUAAUAAUAUUUUAAAAUUAUAAUUUAAAAAUUUAAAUCAAAUCAAGAUGCAGAUUAUAAUUAAGAAUAUAAUGGAUUACAAUAAAUUUAUUUAAAUGAAUUUUAAUUUGUAAUAAUUAAAUGAAGGUGGAUUUAAAUGUAAUUUUAUUUAAUUUAAUAAAAUGAUUUAAAAUUAAAAUAUGUACAUAUUGCCCGUCGCUUUCAUAAAUAAAUUGGAAUAAGUCGUAACAAAGUAGAGGUACUGGAAAGUGUUUCUAGAAAGAC